GAUGAACGCUGGCUACAGGCUUAACACAUGCAAGUCGAGGGGAAACGACGGGGAAGCUUGCUUCCCCGGGCGUCGACCGGCGCACGGGUGAGUAACGCGUAUCCAACCUGCCUCUGACUGAGGGAUAACCCGUCGAGAGUCGGCCUAAUACCUCAUGGCAUCGUCUGCGGGCAUCCAACGACGAUUAAAGAUUUCAUCGGUCAGGGAUGGGGAUGCGUCUGAUUAGCUUGUUGGCGGGGUAACGGCCCACCAAGGCUACGAUCAGUAGGGGUUCUGAGAGGAAGGUCCCCCACAUUGGAACUGAGACACGGUCCAAACUCCUACGGGAGGCAGCAGUGAGGAAUAUUGGUCAAUGGGCGGGAGCCUGAACCAGCCAAGUAGCGUGCAGGAUGACGGCCCUAUGGGUUGUAAACUGCUUUUAUGCGGGGAUAAAGUGAGGGACGUGUCCUUCAUUGCAGGUACCGCAUGAAUAAGGACCGGCUAAUUCCGUG
rnacentral:rRNA from 1 species